CGCCAGCCGGUGGCGGUAACGCACCGUGUCGUUGUUUUCCAUCCACCAAUAAAUUUCGAGCAGCCGGGGUGGUGGGCGCUGAUUGGUCGGCGGACCGGACUCGCGGCUUCUCAUCAGAUCAGUCUUCAAUAAUCAGUCAUGAUCCGAGCUCCACGUGCGCCUGAGACGUGGACCGGGACCCGACGGGACGCUCCACGCGGACGUGUCCGCGGGGCGACCAGGUGGCUCUGCUCUCUGAUUUGAUCCUGAGCUGUGAUGUCAUCGGUGGCGCCUCAGCCACAAAGUUUCCUGACGGCGUCCUGUGUGAGCGCGGUGUCGGGAUGGUCUGUGGCUGUGCCGCAGUAAAGAGGAGGAGUUCUGAUCACGCGCCUCUGCGGUCUGUGAGCUCUGAUCCAGACUCUCCCAGCUGUGUCGUUCCAGCCAGUUUGGGACAAUUUGUUUUUAAUUUGCUGUUUAAAUGUUUUUAAACAGCCAAAUGCAGCAAAUCUCACACUGAUCAAAACUCUGCAAACUAAUGUUCAGUAUAUUUAUUUAUGCAUGGGAAUGAAAAAACUGGAAAUAAAUUAUUAAAUAUAUGAAUGAUUAAAUUACAGUUCUAUUAAUUUGACACACUUGUUCAAAUUUAAAUAGACUGGCGAGGAAAUGAUUAAGACGUAAACCUGAGGGGGGCUAAAUAAGUAUAAACAUAAGUGUAUACUUCUGCCUACUGCUUUUCAAACAGCUGAAUGGAUGAUGUUAUGGACUGUUGGUGAAUGUAUAUGUUCGAAAUAAAAAUGAACUGAACAUUGAAUAAAUUACUGAUUUACAAUUUAAAUUCAUGACACAUUUAAAAGAUUAUUUAAUGAUGUGUUUGAUUCAUUUUGGGACUCCUGGCCCUCCAUAUUAAAUGGUUAUGGGAGAUGCCCCCAAGGGUGGUGGAGAAUGACCGAGCUAAGAUCCUGUGGGACUUCCAGAUACAGACGGACAAAAUGGUGGUGGCUAACCAACCGGACAUAGUGGUGGUAGACAAACAGAAGCAGACGGCCGUAGUGAUCGAUGUAGCGGUUCCCAAUGACAGCAAUAUCAGGAAGAAGGAACACGAGAAGCUGGAGAAAUACCAAGAGCUCAGAGAAGAGCUCGAGAGGAUGUGGAGAGUGAAGGUAACGGUGGUCCCCGUGGUAAUCGGAGCACUAGGUGCGGUGACUCCCAAGCUAGGCGAGUGGCUCCAGCAGAUCCCGGGAACAACAUCGGAGAUCUCUGUCCAGAAGAGCGCAGUCCUGGGAACAGCUAAGAUACUGCGCAGGACCUUCAAGCUCCCAGGCCUCUGGUAGAGGACCCGAGCUUGAAGGAUAAACCGCCCGCAGGGGCGUGCUGGGAGUAAUUAUGUAUAUCUGUAUCUCAUAUAUACAGUGUUGGUCAAGUUACUUGAAAAAAGUAAUUAGUUACUAAUUAUUAAUUACUUCUUCAAGAAUGUAAUCCUGUUACUUUCCUGAUUACUUACUUUCAAAAGUAAUACUUAGUUACUUUUAAAAAACAUGAUGCUCCACCUGAAUAUGUAGUAAAGCAACAGACCCUUCAGCCCAGUUCUAUUUAUUCUGCAUAAUCAUCAUAUAAAAGUCUCUUUUUAAAACUUGUUUUACUCUGUUAACUUGAUGCAUCCAGCAAAAACUAAAUUCUGACUGAAGAAGCGUGUUUAACACUG
ensembl:lncRNA